UACGAAGGGGGCUAGCGUUGCUCGGAAUUACUGGGCGUAAAGCGCACGUAGGCGGGUCGUUAAGUCGGGGGUGAAAUCCCGGGGCUCAACCUCGGAACUGCCUUUGAUACUGCAAAUCUCGAGUCCGGAAGAGGUGAGUGGAAUUCCUAGUGUAGAGGUGAAAAUUCGUAGAUAUUAGGAAGAACGACCAGUGGCGGAAGGCGGCUCACUGGUCCGGUACG
rnacentral:rRNA from 1 species